AUGUUUCCAGUGACGGGUUCACCGAAAUGCGUUGCUUUCCGGUCAAAGCAUACCGGCAAGUACCUAGGUAGCGUGCAAGCAGGGAGCGAGGAGAGCGCCGGCGGAGGCAAGUUCUUCGAGGAGCUGAGCCACGGUGCCGACGACGUCGAUGUCCUUGCAAGCCCGUACACUAGAUUCUACCUGGAGCCAUCCAAGGAGCACGACGGGCUCCUGCACGUCAGGUGCUGCCACAACAACAAGUACUGGGUGGCCAAACAUGUCGGUGAAGGCAGCGGCCACUGGAUCAUUGGCAUCGUCAAUGAACCGGAGGACGACCUGUCCAAGCCGUCAUGCACGCUUUUUGAGCCCAUCCCUCUCGCGGACACGGACAAUAAUCUAUCCAUCAGGUUCUUCCGUCCUCAGCAGACAACAAGCUCUGAAUCUGAUAUGACCAAGGAAAAGGGGACAACUGAAGAAGCCUACCUGUUUCUGGGAACCGAAGGGCAUGAAAAAGCAGUUGAUCAAGUGAAAUCUCUUCAUGACUUCUCCGCCAUUGAUCUAUCGAAGCAAUUGGUACUGCCCAAAUAUGUUGCUUUUAAAGGCGACAAUGACAUGUACCUCCGGGCGAGGAUUAUCCAGAAACGCAAUUACCUGGAAUUCUCAUCAUCUGAUAUUGCAGAUUCAACUGUGGUCAACACUAUUUUCCCCAACUACGCUAAUGGGAAUGUGCGCAUAAAAUCUAACCACUUCAACAGGUUUUGGAGGCUCAGCCCCAACUGGAUCUGGGCUGACUCCACUGACAACAGCAGCAGAGACCGUGACACACUCUUCAGGGUGGUCAUGUUGCCCGACUACAUCGGUCUCCAGAACCUGGGAAACUCCAGGUACUGCAAGAGGCUAACUGCCGACAAGAAGACAAGCUGCCUUAACGCCGCCGUCGAUACCAUCACCCUUGAAGCAAGGUUACGGGUGGAAGAAGCCGUACUUUCGUGA
rnacentral:rRNA from 1 species